ACCCGCUGAACUUAAGCAUAUCAAUAAGCGGAGGAAAAGAAACCAACAGGGAUUACCUCAGUAACGGCGAGUGAAGCGGUAACAGCUCAAAUUUGAAAUCUGGCUCUUUCAGGGUCCGAGUUGUAAUUUGUAGAAGAUGCUUCGGGUGUGGCUCCGGUCUAAGUUCCUUGGAACAGGACGUCAUAGAGGGUGAGAAUCCCGUAUGUGACUGGCUGCCUCCGCUCAUGUGAAGCUCUUUCGACGAGUCGAGUUGUUUGGGAAUGCAGCUCAAAAUGGGUGGUAAAUUUCAUCUAAAGCUAAAUAUUGGCCAGAGACCGAUAGCGCACAAGUAGAGUGAUCGAAAGAUGAAAAGCACUUUGGAAAGAGAGUUAAACAGUACGUGAAAUUGUUGAAAGGGAAGCGCUUGCAAUCAGACUUGCGCGCUGCCGAUCAUCCGGAGUUCUCUCCGGUGCACUCGGUAGCGCUCAGGCCAGCAUCGGUUUGGGUGGUUGGAUAAAGGCCUUGGGAAUGUAGCUUCUUUCGGGGAGUGUUAUAGCCCUCGGUGCAAUGCAGCCUAUCCGGACCGAGGACCGCGCUUCGGCUAGGAUGCUGGCGUAAUGGUUGUAAGCGACCCGUCUUGAAACACGG
rnacentral:rRNA from 1 species